CAGCCGCCGCGGGAAUACGGAGGGUGCAAGCGUUAAUCGGAAUUACUGGGCGUAAAGCGCACGCAGGCGGUCUGUCAAGUCGGAUGUGAAAUCCCCGGGCUCAACCUGGGAACUGCAUUCGAAACUGGCAGGCUAGAGUCUUGUAGAGGGGGGUAGAAUUCCAGGUGUAGCGGUGAAAUGCGUAGAGAUCUGGAGGAAUACCGGUGGCGAAGGCGGCCCCCUGGACAAAGACUGACGCUCAGGUGCGAAAGCGUGGGGAGCAAACAGGAUUAGAUACCCGAGUAGUCCCUGUCUCUUAUAA
rnacentral:rRNA from 1 species